UGCGUUGUGCAAAAGUGCUUAUAGUGCAGGUAGAAUUUAAACCUACUGCACCAUAAGCACUUCCUGCAUCACUAA
rfam:Xenopus tropicalis strain Nigerian Chr08_contig_1455, whole genome shotgun sequence.